CAGGCCUAACACAUGCAAGUCGAACGAGUGCCUUCGGGUGCUACUGGCGCACGGGUGCGUAACGCGUGGGAAUCUGCCCCUUGGUUCGGAAUAACAGCUAGAAAUGACUGCUAAUACCGGAUGAUGACGUAAGUCCAAAGAUUUAUCGCCGAGGGAUGAGCCCGAGUAGGAUUAGCUAGUUGGUGUGGUAAAGGCGCACCAACGCGACGAUCCUUAUCUGGUCUGAGAGGAUGAUCAGCCACACUGGGACUGAUACACGGUCCAGACUCCUACGCGGAGGCAGCACUGGGGAAUAUUGGACAAUGGGCGAAAGCCUGAUCCAGCAAUGCCGCGUGAGUGAUGAACGCCCUAUGGUGGUAAAGCUCUUUUACCCGGGAAGAUAAUGACUGUACCGGGACAAUAGCCCCCGGCUAACUCCGUGCCAGCAGGCGCGGUGAU
rnacentral:rRNA from 1 species